rnacentral:rRNA from 1 species
AUUGAACGCUGGCGGCAUGCCUUACACAUGCAAGUCGAACGGCAGCACGGGUGCUUGCACCUGGUGGCGAGUGGCGAACGGGUGAGUAAUACAUCGGAACAUGUCCUGUAGUGGGGGAUAGCCCGGCGAAAGCCGGAUUAAUACCGCAUACGAUCCACGGAUGAAAGCGGGGGACCUUCGGGCCUCGCGCUAUAGGGUUGACCGAUGGCUGAUUAGCUAGUUGGUGGGGUAAAGGCCUACCAAGGCGACGAUCAGUAGCUGGUCUGAGAGGACGACCAGCCACACUGGGACUGAGACACGGCCCAGACUCCUACGGGAGGCAGCAGUGGGGAAUUUUGGACAAUGGGCGAAAGCCUGAUCCAGCAAUGCCGCGUGUGUGAAGAAGGCCUUCGGGUUGUAAGGCACUUUUGUCCGGAAAGAAAUCCUUGACUCUAAUACAGUCGGGGGAUGACGGUACCGGAAGAAUAAGCACCGGCUAACUACGUG